GGAGUUAGCGAAAUUCCAAUGUGUGCGAAUCGGCAAAAAAUGCAAAAUAGCCCUUUUACCGUACAUUAUACAGAUACGCGCUCUUUGACUUUUUCGUAGAUCUAAUUGAGAUACACAUGAUUGUUAAUUUUUGUGUCAAUAUGACAAAGAGUUCAGGCGUGACACUCAACAAUGUGUAUUUUCACCUUAGGGGACAAGAAAAAAUUGACUUUUUUCUCCUGCCAUGGGGGGGGGCGCUCUUUUGGGGAGUAAAAAUUCCUUCACAAAUGUGUUGAUGGCUGGACAUUGCAUCAUCCUAGAAAACUUGGAGGCCAGUGAGGACAAAAAUAAAAAGUUAUAAGACUUUUAAAUAUUUGGAUUUUAAGGGUUAUCUUUGGCGCCCCCUAGAGCCUAAACCGUGGGGUGCAGCGUCAUGAUUUUUACAACUUUUAAUGGCCAUGGGGUGUAGAUUGGCCUGAGCAAAUUUGGUGCCGGUGGAACGAAAGCCUUCGGAGGAGUUAGCGAAAUUCCAAUGUGUGCGGAUCGGCAAAAAAUGCAAAAUAGCCCUUUUACCGUACAUUAUACAGAUACGCGCUCUUUGACUUUUUCGUAGAUCUAAUUGAGAUACACAUGAUUGUCAAUUUUUGUGUCAAUAUGACAAAGAGUUCAGGCGUGACACUCAACAAUGUGUAUUUUCACCUUAGGGGACAAGAAAAAAUUGACUUUUUUCUCCUGCCAUGGGGGGGCGCUCUUUUGGGGAGUAAAAAUUCCUUCACACAUGUGUUGAUGGCUGGACAUAGCAUCAUCCUAGAAAACUUGGAGGCCAGUGAGGACAAAAAUAAAAAGUUAUAAGACUUUUAAGAAUGUGGAUUUUUGGGUUAUCUUUGGCGCCCCCUAGAACAUAAACCGUGGGGUGCAGCGUCAUGAUUUGUACAACUUUGAAUGGCCAUGGGGUGUAGAUUGGCCUGAGCAAAUUUGGUGCCGGUGGAACGAAAGCCUUCGGAGGAGUUAGCGAAAUUCCAAUGUGUGCGGAUCGGCAAAAAAUGCGAAAUAGCCCUUUAACCGUACAUUUGACAGAUACGCCCGCACUGACUUUUUUGUAGAUCUUAUUGAGAUACACAUGUGUGUCAAAUUUUGUGUCAUUUUGACAAAGCGUACAGGCGUCAGGUGAGUUUUCACCAUAGGGGGCGCUAUGGAGCCAUUUUUCAUUUUUUUGUUUGGGCGACUUCAGAAUAUCAAAUUUUUCACCAGGCCCGGUCGUCCUGCCAAAUUUCCUGAGUUUUCGCCAGUGGGAAGUGGGCCAUUUUCCAGUUUAAAGCGGAGGAAAAAUAACGAAAGAAGAAUCCAUCAGGAACAAGAGGGCUCUCGCAGCUGCUUAGCAGCUACGCUCGGGCCCUAAUAAUAACACUAGGACCCCGUUGGGGCACUGGCGGGCCCGAGCUGUGUCGCGUCCCCCCCCCCAACGCGCUGCCUCCCCGUCCCAUUUGUGUCCUCUGGCCAUCGCCCUCUCUGGUAACGCCCAUCACUGCAAAGACCCUUUUCCUUCAUCGGCGUUUGCUGUUCUUCCUGCCAGUGCGUGUUGCUUUCACUUACACUUGCCACAGCCAGCCUCGUGAGUGCCUAGCCUAUUGGAUAUCACUGUCACCUACACAGGACAGUCAUUACCUUUCUAUUAAUACUUUGUUUUUUAAUUUCACAUUAAUUUCCAUAUUGUAUAAACAACUGGAAAAAACUUGAGCCCCUGCCCCUGUAUAAUCAUGUGCACGUCUCUGUUCUAGCUCUAAGGUGAAUCUUCACUGCUCAUGUUCUCCUCAGAAGCAGUCACCUCACUCCCCUCAGGUUACUGUACACAUGCACCAACUGCCUGCUUCAGGUUUGGAUGGAGCUUCAUGGUUGUCUUUUGGAGAAAUGACCAGUCAAGUUGUGUUUGAAAUUUGAUUUUUUUCAGGGGCAAAAGGAGCCUCUGCAUUCUUGUCAAAUAUGUAAAUAGCAUGUUUUUGCAGGUGCUAAAAACCAGACUCUGAGUGUGUGUGUGUGCGUGUGUGUGUGUGUCUGUGUGUGUGUGUGUGUGUGUGUGUGUGUGUGUGUGUGUGUGUGCGUUCAAGUCACAUGACAUAUUUAACCGGAUGUAGCUGCAAGACGGAGCCUCGUUGACUCUCCGUUUCAAUUUAUCUCAAAAGUGAGGACCUCAACCUAUAUAUCAGUUUUUAAAUUGUGUUGAUAGGCCAAAUAAAACCAGAGUUAUGAUAAAUUAUGUCCACGAUACUUGUUUUCUGCUUAUUUUGAUCACGUUCGGCGCUCGAUCGCGCUGUAUGAGACAGGAAAACAUAGCAUGCAGACAUUAGCGACAGGUCUUACAGGCGGAAAAGACUUGCCAAAGGAAAAAAAACACACCACAACAUCUCUCCUAUUGGUGGAAAACUUCACCACAACAACCAAUCCAAAAUUAUAUGGUGACUGAUUGACAAGGGGCGGGAACUUACGUUCUUCCUGCAAUAUGAGAAGGGAGGGAGGGACUCUCAGCAGGGAUGCAGUCUGGGACACGUAGUUGCAAACCUAGCGACUUUGUUGUUAGAUUCAAUGACUUUUCAGACCCCCUAACGACUUUUUUUUAGAAAGAAAGUGACUUUUAUCGACUUCUUCUGGAGUUUAGAGACUCUGACAUGAAGCAGGCUUUCCUUACUGAGGAGUUAGCAACGCUGCUAAGGGUGCAGAGCCACACAUGCGCUC